ACACAAACUCCUCUUGUAAACCGAGUCAGGAUGCGGUCGCCCGUACUCGCGCUCGUCCUUUGGGCUCUGCUGAUUCCGGGAUCUUCUGCCGCUGAUUUUCUGAGGCAGACGGACAGAAUGAAGUCCGUCUCUCUUGGAGGGACGUUGACCAUUGGCGCCACAGGGAGUUCAAACAUUGGUAGAGAUCUCAGUUGGUACCAAGUGAAACCUGGGCAGGCUCCCAAACUGCUCAUCUACGAUGCAUCCAGUCGCUUCUCUGGCACGCCAUCUCGAUUCAGCGGCACACGAUCUGGCUCUGACUACACUCUGACCAUCAGUGGUGUCCAGGCAGAAGACGUGGCUGAUUACUACUGUCUCGGCUAUCACGGCAGUGGAAGGUACACACGGUGAUUCAGAGCCGUACAAAAACCUCUUUCGACUUUGAGCGAAGUGAAAGCGGCCUGCAGAAUGUGGCAAGGGGAAAGCAGAAGACACACUGAAUGAUGAGCAUGACUGGUCAUCAAGCUAAUGAAUCACUCAAGCUGACUGACAACAUUAUAUUAAUAUUAUUCUUUCUAUUUUCAAUAUUUGUGUUUUUUUAUUUGAAUG